GUAAAAGCUAAGUUGACAGAAGUAGAAUUCUCAGGAUGUGAAAAGUGGAUAUGCACUCUUUUCUGCUAAAGAGGCACUAUGCUUAGUACCCUGGUUUAACUCUUAAGGACCUCUAUGUUUACAACCAAUAUGUGCUUUCACCACAUACAGUCUCUCUCUCACACACACACACACACACAGAGGCCCAUAUCCAGCUCACACCUGUUCACUGUAUUACUUUCACUGUAUUACUUUGUGUUUCAAUGUAUUACUUUGUAUUUCAUUGUAACACUUUGUAGUUCAAUGUAUCACUUUUGCCAUUACUUUCAAUGACAAAAACUGCAAUUACUUUUUCACCAACCUAAUAUUAUUUGGAAUACCAGAUGUCAUGGGUCUCCAGAACGCACCAAGUGAGGCCAGAGAGCACUAAGAAGACCAAAUGUGCAGGAGGAGUACAGAGAGACCAGCAGUCACAGGAGCGGCGAUGAGGAAGGUGGGAUCCAAGGAGCAUUGACGACUUGCCCAAGGUCACUUCUUUCCUUAGAGACGCUCUUUCCAGUACACAACAGGGACUUCAGAUUGAAAUUUCCUAAGUAAAAUGCCAUUCCCAGGGCACCCCUUUACUGUUGUACUAAAUGACCACAGGCUCUGACAUAUUGGCUUCACCUUUUUCUACUAAAGAGCUACUAUGCUCAUACCCUGGUUUACCCGUUAAGGACUUCUGCAUUACAACCAAGUUGUGCUCACAGUCUUGGCAAAGCAGUGGGUUAGAAUUUGAAUGUCAUUGUUCCCAUAGAAACAAGUUAGAAGUGGAGGGCUGGUGCCAAGACAACUCAUAGAAAUAUAUUUAAAUUACUAUAAAACUGCAAUACAAUUUACUAUAUUAUAGAAAAUAUAGUAAAAAGCAAUAUUUUUGCAAUUCUCAUGAUUAACAAUUCAGAGAAAACAGAAAAACAAUCUAUUCCAAAGUAAACUUUCAGAUUUCCGUUAUCUUGAAUGUUGAUAGUUAAAGAAAAGAAGUUUUAAUAAGUAUUCAUUUAACAAGAAUAUCCUCGUUUCCACCAGAUUGACAGCCUGCCACCAAGAAGCUACAGAAGCCUGGAGGGGUGGGGGGAUGACAAGAAAACAGAAUGAGAAGCCUAGAGAUAUGCCCUAACCACUAAAGAAGUCGAGGUGACUUCUAAUUCUACAAAAUGAAGAAAGGAAUAUCACCCCAGACAGGAGAUAGAAACAUGUUGAAGUUAUUCUGAUGAGAAUUGGAGUACUCUCGGGGACUAAUUAUUUCUCAUUUCACUUGAGAAUGCAGAGCUUCCCUUUUUGCUUCAUACAGAUAUUUCACCAGCAUUGUUGAUGCUCCUCAGUCAUAACAAAGGUUGUACUUAGCUAUGAAUGAAAGGGCAAAAAAGGAGCAAAAGAAGAAAAGGUAACUGAGGAAGAACUGAAAAGAAGACAGGACCACCCAGCUCGGA
rnacentral:lncRNA from 10 species